rnacentral:misc_RNA from 1 species
AAGUCGUAACAAGGUUUCCGUAGGUGAACCUGCGGAAGGAUCAUUAACAAGCUGGGGGGAUUGAAGGAUCCCUAGGGCCGGGCGAGCAACCCUACUGGGCUUACUGGUAGCUGGCGUCAAGACCCCGUAAACCCUGAGUGAAGUGCGGAUGCGGCCGUCACCCCCCCGGAAUGAUGAUAUACCCUUUGUUCUUGAUGUAACGUUGUUCUCCCUUGGCGGCUUCGGGCGCCAGCUUGGGACCUUAAACCCUUUGCAAUCAGCAUAACAGUCAGUCAAUCUAAAAAGUCAAAACUUUCAACAAUGGAUCUCUUGGCUCUG